rnacentral:rRNA from 1 species
AGAGUUUGAUCCUGGCUCAGAGCGAACGCUGGCGGCAGGCCUAACACAUGCAAGUCGAACGGACCUUUCGGGGUUAGUGGCGGACGGGUGAGUAACACGUGGGAACGUGCCUUUAGGUUCGGAAUAAGCUCGGGAAACUGGGUCUAAUACCGAAUGUGCCCUUCGGGGGAAAGAUUUAUCGCCUUUAGAGCGGCCCGCGUCUGAUUAGCUAGUUGGUGGUGUAAUGGACCACCAAGGCGACGAUCAGUAGCUGGUCUGAGAGGAUGACCAGCCACAUUGGGACUGAGACACGGCCCAAACUCCUACGGGAGGCAGCAGUGGGGAAUCUUGCGCAAUGGGCGAAAGCCUGACGCAGCCAUGCCGCGUGUAUGAUGAAGGUCUUAGGAUUGUAAAAUACUUUCACCGGUGAAGAUAAUGACUGUAGCCGGAGAAGAAGCCCCGGCUAACUUCGUGCCAGCAGCCGCGGUAAUACGAAGGGGGCUAGCGUUGCUCGGAAUUACUGGGCGUAAAGGGAGCGUAGGCGGACAUUUAAGUCAGGGGUGAAAUCCCAGAG